UUAAGCGACUAAGCGUACACGGUGGAUGCCCUGGCAGUCAGAGGCGAUGAAGGACGUGCUAAUCUGCGAUAAGCGUCGGUAAGGUGAUAUGAACCGUUAUAACCGGCGAUUUCCGAAUGGGGAAACCCAGUGUGAUUCGUCACACUAUCAUUAACUGAAUCCAUAGGUUAAUGAGGCGAACCGGGGGAACUGAAACAUCUAAGUACCCCGAGGAAAAGAAAUCAACCGAGAUUCCCCAGUAGCGGCGAGCGAACGGGGAGCAGCCCAGAGCCUGAAUCAGUGUGUGUGUUAGUGGAAGCGUCUGGAAAGGCGUGCGAUACAGGGUGACAGCCCCGUACACAAAAAUGCACAUGCUGUGAGCUCGAUGAGUAGGGCGGGACACGUGGUAUCCUGUCUGAAUAUGGGGGGACCAUCCUCCAAGGCUAAAUACUCCUGACUGACCGAUAGUGAACCAGUACCGUGAGGGAAAGGCGAAAAGAACCCCGGCGAGGGGAGUGAAAAAGAACCUGAAACCGUGUACGUACAAGCAGUGGGAGCACAGAGCAAUCUGUGUGACUGCGUACCUUUUGUAUAAUGGGUCAGCGACUUAUAUUCUGUAGCAAGGUUAACCGAAUAGGGGAGCCGAAGGGAAACCGAGUCUUAACUGGGCGUUAAGUUGCAGGGUAUAGACCCGAAACCCGGUGAUCUAGCCAUGGGCAGGUUGAAGGUUGGGUAACACUAACUGGAGGACCGAACCGACUAAUGUUGAAAAAUUAGCGGAUGACUUGUGGCUGGGGGUGAAAGGCCAAUCAAACCGGGAGAUAGCUGGUUCUCCCCGAAAGCUAUUUAGGUAGCGCCUCGUGAAUUCAUCUCCGGGGGUAGAGCACUGUUUCGGCAAGGGGGUCAUCCCGACUUACCAACCCGAUGCAAACUGCGAAUACCGGAGAAUGUUAUCACGGGAGACACACGGCGGGUGCUAACGUCCGUCGUGAAGAGGGAAACAACCCAGACCGCCAGCUAAGGUCCCAAAGUCAUGGUUAAGUGGGAAACGAUGUGGGAAGGCCCAGACAGCCAGGAUGUUGGCUUAGAAGCAGCCAUCAUUUAAAGAAAGCGUAAUAGCUCACUGGUCGAGUCGGCCUGCGCGGAAGAUGUAACGGGGCUAAACCAUGCACCGAAGCUGCGGCAGCGACGCUUAUGCGUUGUUGGGUAGGGGAGCGUUCUGUAAGCCUGCGAAGGUGUGCUGUGAGGCAUGCUGGAGGUAUCAGAAGUGCGAAUGCUGACAUAAGUAACGAUAAAGCGGGUGAAAAGCCCGCUCGCCGGAAGACCAAGGGUUCCUGUCCAACGUUAAUCGGGGCAGGGUGAGUCGACCCCUAAGGCGAGGCCGAAAGGCGUAGUCGAUGGGAAACAGGUUAAUAUUCCUGUACUUGGUGUUACUGCGAAGGGGGGACGGAGAAGGCUAUGUUGGCCGGGCGACGGUUGUCCCGGUUUAAGCGUGUAGGCUGGUUUUCCAGGCAAAUCCGGAAAACUAAGGCUGAGGCGUGAUGACGAGGCACUACGGUGCUGAAGCAACAAAUGCCCUGCUUCCAGGAAAAGCCUCUAAGCAUCAGGUAACAUCAAAUCGUACCCCAAACCGACACAGGUGGUCAGGUAGAGAAUACCAAGGCGCUUGAGAGAACUCGGGUGAAGGAACUAGGCAAAAUGGUGCCGUAACUUCGGGAGAAGGCACGCUGAUAUGUAGGUGAAGCGACUUGCUCGUGGAGCUGAAAUCAGUCGAAGAUACCAGCUGGCUGCAACUGUUUAUUAAAAACACAGCACUGUGCAAACACGAAAGUGGACGUAUACGGUGUGACGCCUGCCCGGUGCCGGAAGGUUAAUUGAUGGGGUCAGCGCAAGCGAAGCUCUUGAUCGAAGCCCCGGUAAACGGCGGCCGUAACUAUAACGGUCCUAAGGUAGCGAAAUUCCUUGUCGGGUAAGUUCCGACCUGCACGAAUGGCGUAAUGAUGGCCAGGCUGUCUCCACCCGAGACUCAGUGAAAUUGAACUCGCUGUGAAGAUGCAGUGUACCCGCGGCAAGACGGAAAGACCCCGUGAACCUUUACUAUAGCUUGACACUGAACAUUGAGCCUUGAUGUGUAGGAUAGGUGGGAGGCUUGGAAGUGUGGACGCCAGUCUGCAUGGAGCCGACCUUGAAAUACCACCCUUUAAUGUUUGAUGUUCUAACGUUGACCCGUAAUCCGGGUUGCGGACAGUGUCUGGUGGGUAGUUUGACUGGGGCGGUCUCCUCCUAAAGAGUAACGGAGGAGCACGAAGGUUGGCUAAUCCUGGUCGGACAUCAGGAGGUUAGUGCAAUGGCAUAAGCCAGCUUGACUGCGAGCGUGACGGCGCGAGCAGGUGCGAAAGCAGGUCAUAGUGAUCCGGUGGUUCUGAAUGGAAGGGCCAUCGCUCAACGGAUAAAAGGUACUCCGGGGAUAACAGGCUGAUACCGCCCAAGAGUUCAUAUCGACGGCGGUGUUUGGCACCUCGAUGUCGGCUCAUCACAUCCUGGGGCUGAAGUAGGUCCCAAGGGUAUGGCUGUUCGCCAUUUAAAGUGGUACGCGAGCUGGGUUUAGAACGUCGUGAGACAGUUCGGUCCCUAUCUGCCGUGGGCGCUGGAGAACUGAGGGGGGCUGCUCCUAGUACGAGAGGACCGGAGUGGACGCAUCACUGGUGUUCGGGUUGUCAUGCCAAUGGCACUGCCCGGUAGCUAAAUGCGGAAGAGAUAAGUGCUGAAAGCAUCUAAGCACGAAACUUGCCCCGAGAUGAGUUCUCCCUGACUCCUUGAGAGUCCUGAAGGAACGUUGAAGACGACGACGUUGAUAGGCCGGGUGUGUAAGCGCAGCGAUGCGUUGAGCUAACCGGUACUAAUGAACCGUGAGGCUUAACCU
rnacentral:rRNA from 1 species